AAGAUGCUAGUAUAAAGAAUACUCUGCCUUGUCGAGGCAGGAUUGUGGGUUAGACUCCCACGUAUCUUA
rnacentral:tRNA from 1 species